CCUACGGGGGACAGCAGUGGGGAAUAUUGCACAAUGGGGGAAACCCUGAUGCAGCGACGCCGCGUGAGUGAAGAAGUAUCUCGUUAUGUAAAGCUCUAUCAGCAGGGAAGAAAAUGACGGUACCUGAGUAAGAAGCCCCGGCUAACUACGUGCCAGCAGCCGCGGUAAUACGUAGGGGGCAAGCGUUAGCCGGAUUUACUGGGUGUAAAGGGAGCGUAGACGGCAGCGCAAGUCUGGAGUGAAAGGCCGGGGCUCAACCCCCGGACUGCUUUUGAAACUGUGCGGCUGGAGUGCAGGAGGGGUAAGCGGAAUUCCUAGUGGAGCGGUGAAAUGCGUAGAUAUUAGGAGGAACACCAGUGGCGAAGGCGGCUUACUGGACUGUAACUGACGUUGAGGCUCGAAAGCGUGGGGAGCAAACAGGAUUAGAUACCCUAGUAGUC
rnacentral:rRNA from 1 species